AAACAUGUCUUUUUGAAUUGUAUUUAAAGUCUGACCUGCCCACUGAAUAAUUUUAAAUGGCCGCAGUAUUUUGACUGUGCAAAGGUAGCAUAAUCAUUAGUCUUUUAAUUGGAGGCUGGUAUGAACGGUUGGACGAGGUAUAAGCUGUUUCAUGUAAAUUUAUUAUAGAAUUUUAUAUUUUAGUUAAAAAGCUAAAAUUUUAUUAAAAGACGAGAAGACCCUAUAAAUCUUUAUAUUUAAAUUUAACUAAAUUUUUUUGUUUAAUUUAAUUUUUUUAAUAUUAAAUAUUUUGUUGGGGUGAUAUUAAAAUUUAAAAAACUUUUAAUUUUUUUAGUUCAUUAAUUUAUGAUUUAUUGAUCCAUUAAUAAUGAUUAUAAGAUUAAGUUACUUUAGGGAUAACAGCGUAAUUUUUUUUGAGAGUUCAUAUCGACAAAAAAGUUUGCGACCUCGAUGUUGGAUUAAGGUAUAAUUUUGGGUGUAGCUGUUCAAAAAUUAAGUCUGUUCGACUUUUAAAUCCUUACAUGAUC
rnacentral:rRNA from 1 species